GAUGAACGCUGGCGGCGUGCCUAAUACAUGCAAGUCGAGCGAACGGACGAGAAGCUUGCUUUUCUGAUGUUAGCGGCGGACGGGUGAGUAACACGUGGAUAACCUACCUAUAAGACUGGGAUAACUUCGGGAAACCGGGGCUAAUACCGGAUAAUAUUUUGAAUCGCAUGGUUCAAAAGUGAAAGACGGUCUUGCUGUCCCUUAUAGAUGGAUCCGCGCUGCAUUAGCUAGUUGGUAAGGUAACGGCUUACCAAGGCAACGAUGGAUAGCCGACCUGAGAGGGUGAUCGGCCACACUGGAACUGAGACACGGUCCAGACUCCUACGGGAGGCAGCAGUAGGGAAUCUUCCGCAAUGGGCGAAAGCCUGACGGAGCAACGCGGCGUGAGUGAUGAAGGUCUUCGGAUCGUAAAACUCUGUGAUUAGGGAAGAAAAUAUGUGUAAGUAACUGUGCACAUCUUGACGGUACCUAAUCAGAAAGCCACGGCUAACUACGUG
rnacentral:rRNA from 1 species